UUCUAGGUUAAAAAAUUGCCCCAGUAAUCGUGAACCCCUCCACCCUCGUUUGACCUUGCGUGCAGCACCUCCUCCAUGACGGUGCCCCCCACCUCCGUUCGACAACCCCGGACAGCACCCCAAGAUAGUAGCCCAGUCGUCGUUCAACCCCAGGACAGCAACCCCGCCAUUGCUCGACAUCCACAACAGUUCGUGUGACUGGAGUCAACCUCUCUUCUCCAGCGACUGGAUUCUUCCUUCUCAGGCGACAACACCUCAGGUGCGCUACGGAUUCUCCAGCUUAUUAUGAAGUUCUUUCUUUUGAUAGCUUCUUUGAAGUGUUCCACAUUUUUGUAACUAAACUACCAUCAUGGUUAGUAGAUGGUAACAGAAUCUCUACAAAGAUCAAGAGUGCCUCUAGCAACCAUGAUCUUGAAAGAAUUAAUUGGAAAAGCAACCCCGCUAGAGCCUGUCCUAAUUGUGAAUUUGUGAUUGACAACAAUGAAGUUGGAAGAUAAAUGGUCAUUGCUUCUCAUCUGACUGUUUCUAAGGCUUUGAAUUUUGGGACAGUAGCUGUAACAAGGUCAUUGAAUAUACAAUUGAAGUAUCCUUCAAAGGGCUUUAUUAGGUCUAUUCAAAUGGAAAAUAUCCAUGGCUUUAAGUCAACUGGCAGCAGUGGCUCAAGAGGUGCAUUGAUUGUUCUAGAAGGCU